AUGCCCUGGCAGUCAGAGGCGAUGAAGGGCGUGCUAAUCUGCGAUAAGCGCCGGUAAGGUGAUAUGAACCGUUAUAACCGGCGAUACCCGAAUGGGGAAACCCAGUGUGAUUCGUCACACUAUCAUUAACUGAAUCCAUAGGUUAAUGAGGCGAACCGGGGGAACUGAAACAUCUAAGUACCCCGAGGAAAAGAAAUCAACCGAGAUUCCCCCAGUAGCGGCGAGCGAACGGGGAGGAGCCCAGAGCCUGAAUCAGCAUGUGUGUUAGUGGAAGCGUCUGGAAAGGCGCGCGAUACAGGGUGACAGCCCCGUACACAAAAGCGCAUGUGCUGUGAGCUCGAUGAGUAGGGCGGGACACGUGGUAUCCUGUCUGAAUAUGGGGGGACCAUCCUCCAAGGCUAAAUACUCCUGACUGACCGAUAGUGAACCAGUACCGUGAGGGAAAGGCGAAAAGAACCCCGGCGAGGGGAGUGAAAAAGAACCUGAAACCGUGUACGUACAAGCAGUGGGAGCACCCUUUGGGUGUGACUGCGUACCUUUUGUAUAAUGGGUCAGCGACUUAUAUUCUGUAGCAAGGUUAACCGAAUAGGGGAGCCGGAGGGAAACCGAGUCUUAAUUGGGCGUUAAGUUGCAGGGUAUAGACCCGAAACCCGGUGAUCUAGCCAUGGGCAGGUUGAAGGUUGGGUAACACUAACUGGAGGACCGAACCGACUAAUGUUGAAAAAUUAGCGGAUGACCUGUGGCUGGGGGUGAAAGGCCAAUCAAACCGGGAGAUAGCUGGUUCUCCCCGAAAGCUAUUUAGGUAGCGCCUCGUGAAUUCAUCUCCGGGGGUAGAGCACUGUUUCGGCUAGGGGGCCAUCCCGGCUUACCAACCCGAUGCAAACUGCGAAUACCGGAGAAUGUUAUCACGGGAGACACACGGCGGGUGCUAACGUCCGUCGUGAAGAGGGAAACAACCCAGACCGCCAGCUAAGGUCCCAAAGUCAUGGUUAAGUGGGAAACGAUGUGGGAAGGCCCAGACAGCCAGGAUGUUGGCUUAGAAGCAGCCAUCAUUUAAAGAAAGCGUAAUAGCUCACUGGUCGAGUCGGCCUGCGCGGAAGAUGUAACGGGGCUAAACCAUGCACCGAAGCUGCGGCAGCGACACUGUGUGUUGUUGGGUAGGGGAGCGUUCUGUAAGCCUGCGAAGGUGGCCUGUGAGGGUUGCUGGAGGUAUCAGAAGUGCGAAUGCUGACAUAAGUAACGAUAAAGCGGGUGAAAAGCCCGCUCGCCGGAAGACCAAGGGUUCCUGUCCAACGUUAAUCGGGGCAGGGUGAGUCGACCCCUAAGGCGAGGCCGAAAGGCGUAGUCGAUGGGAAACGGGUUAAUAUUCCCGUACUUGGUGUUACUGCGAAGGGGGGACGGAGAAGGCUAUGUUGGCCGGGCGACGGUUGUCCCGGUUUAAGCGUGUAGGUGUGUGUUCCAGGUAAAUCCGGUUCACUUUAACACUGAGGCGUGACGACGAGGCACUACGGUGCUGAAGCAACAAAUGCCCUGCUUCCAGGAAAAGCCUCUAAGCAUCAGGUAACAUCAAAUCGUACCCCAAACCGACACAGGUGGUCAGGUAGAGAAUACCAAGGCGCUUGAGAGAACUCGGGUGAAGGAACUAGGCAAAAUGGUGCCGUAACUUCGGGAGAAGGCACGCUGACACGUAGGUGAAGUGAUUUACUCAUGGAGCUGAAGUCAGUCGAAGAUACCAGCUGGCUGCAACUGUUUAUUAAAAACACAGCACUGUGCAAACACGAAAGUGGACGUAUACGGUGUGACGCCUGCCCGGUGCCGGAAGGUUAAUUGAUGGGGUCAGCGCAAGCGAAGCUCCUGAUCGAAGCCCCGGUAAACGGCGGCCGUAACUAUAACGGUCCUAAGGUAGCGAAAUUCCUUGUCGGGUAAGUUCCGACCUGCACGAAUGGCGUAAUGAUGGCCAGGCUGUCUCCACCCGAGACUCAGUGAAAUUGAACUCGCUGUGAAGAUGCAGUGUACCCGCGGCAAGACGGAAAGACCCCGUGAACCUUUACUAUAGCUUGACACUGAACAUUGAGCCUUGAUGUGUAGGAUAGGUGGGAGGCUUUGAAGUGUGGACGCCAGUCUGCAUGGAGCCGACCUUGAAAUACCACCCUUUAAUGUUUGAUGUUCUAACGUGGACCCGUUACCCGGGUUGCGGACAGUGUCUGGUGGGUAGUUUGACUGGGGCGGUCUCCUCCUAAAGAGUAACGGAGGAGCACGAAGGUUGGCUAAUCCUGGUCGGACAUCAGGAGGUUAGUGCAAUGGCAUAAGCCAGCUUGACUGCGAGCGUGACGGCGCGAGCAGGUGCGAAAGCAGGUCAUAGUGAUCCGGUGGUUCUGAAUGGAAGGGCCAUCGCUCAACGGAUAAAAGGUACUCCGGGGAUAACAGGCUGAUACCGCCCAAGAGUUCAUAUCGACGGCGGUGUUUGGCACCUCGAUGUCGGCUCAUCACAUCCUGGGGCUGAAGUAGGUCCCAAGGGUAUGGCUGUUCGCCAUUUAAAGUGGUACGCGAGCUGGGUUUAGAACGUCGUGAGACAGUUCGGUCCCUAUCUGCCGUGGGCGCUGGAGAACUGAGGGGGGCUGCUCCUAGUACGAGAGGACCGGAGUGGACGCAUCACUGGUGUUCGGGUUGUCAUGCCAAUGGCACUGCCCGGUAGCUAAAUGCGGAAGAGAUAAGUGCUGAAAGCAUCUAAGCACGAAACUUGCCCCGAGAUGAGUUCUCCCUGAGACUUAGAGUCUCCUGAAGGAACGUUGAAGACGACGACGUUGAUAGGCCGGGUGUGUAAGCGCAGCGAUGCGUUGAGCUAACCGGUACUAAUGAACCGUGAGGCUUAACCUUACAACGCCGAAG
rnacentral:rRNA from 1 species